GAUGAAGAACGCAGCGAAAUGCGAUAAGUAGUGUGAAUUGCAGAAUUCAGUGAAUCAUCGAAUCUUUGAACGCACAUUGCGCCCUUUGGUAUUCCUUAGGGCAUGCCUGUUCGAGCGUCAUUUAAACCUUCAAGCUAAGCUUGGUGUUGGGUGACUGUCCGCUUCACGGCGGACUCGCCUCAAAAUUAUUGGCGGCCGGUACAUUGGCUUCGAGCGCAGCAGAAACGCGAACUCGGGCCCGUCGUAUUGGCUCCCAGAAGCUAUCUUCACAAUUUUGACCUCGGAUCAGGUAGGGAUACCCGCUGAACUUAAGCAUAUCAAUAAGCUGAGGA
rnacentral:misc_RNA from 1 species